GUCACGGUGCUGCAGUGGGUAGCAUUUUUGCCUCACCGCAAGAGGUUCCUGAGUUCAAAUCUGGCCUGGGUCU
rnacentral:tRNA from 1 species